CAACGUGGGUGACCUGCCCUUUAGUGGGGAAUAACGCUGCGAAAGCAGCGCUAAUACCGCAUAGCCUUGACCCUUCACGGGUUCAGGAAAGCUCAAUGCGCUAAAGGAGGGGCCUGCGGCAGAUUAGCUAGUCGGUGGGGUAAUGGCCUACCGAGGCAACGAUCUGUAGCUGGUCUGAGAGGAUGACCAGCCACACUGGGACUGAGACACGGCCCAG
rnacentral:rRNA from 1 species